CGGACGGGUGAGUAACACGUGGAUAACCUACCUAUAAGACUGGGAUAACUUCGGGAAACCGGAGCUAAUACCGGAUAAUAUAUUGAACCGCAUGGUUCAAUGGUGAAAGACGGUUUUGCUGUCACUUAUAGAUGGAUCCGCGCCGCAUUAGCUAGUUGGUAAGGUAACGGCUUACCAAGGCAACGAUGCGUAGCCGACCUGAGAGGGUGAUCGGCCACACUGGAACUGAGACACGGUCCAGACUCCUACGGGAGGCAGCAGGA
rnacentral:rRNA from 1 species